UUCGAAAGGUCAUUUGAGGUGAACAUCUAUACAACAGCAGAAAUCGCAUGGUAUUCUACUGUAAUUUGACAAGUGCUUUGUCCUCACACCAUUUCUGCACUUCAUGGCACUUAUUGCAGCUACUUGCCUCACCUACCAUCCCAGAAUAGCUUCCUGAGUGAGCUGCUAAAGGGAUUACUCAACCAAGUACCACGUAUUAAAAUGAUGGAGGGCUCAAGAGAUGGAUGUGGCCAUGUGUGUAAUGAGAAUGUUUCAAUGUCAUUCAGCCAUAAUAUUGAAGAAUUGAUUGGAGGGGAAGGAGACCCAACAGGCGAGACAUCUACUGAACAGAGGGGUGAUUCCAGUAUGGACUGUGAACCACUGGAUGGAGAGGGAUGGGUCGGUGACAUCACAAUGCCUUCUGGUGAGGAGAUCCCAUCACCUGAAAUAUCACAUGGUCUGUCACAUGACCCAGAAGGUGAAAGGCUUUCCCUUUUAUCACAAAACCUGUAUGCUGAAGUUGGAAAUGGACAUAGUCAUGUUGGUGCCACAGACACUGUACCCGUCGAAAGUCACCAACACGGCACUCAUACUUAUGAGGGAGGAAGUCAUGCCGAAGAGCUACACGUAUCACCUGAUAUGUCACAUGACCAGUCAUAUGUUAGAGGUACUGGUGAAGGAAGGGAAUC